rnacentral:lncRNA from 1 species
CCCCGCACCGCGCCGUGCCCUUCCCGGCCUCGCACAGCACCGUGCCGCACCCCUUCCCAGCCCCGCACCACGCUGCGCCGCCCUCUCCCCAACCCCGCACCGCGCCGCCCUCUCCCCAGGCCUGCACCGCGCCGCGCCCUCUCCCCAACCCCGCACAGCGCCUCUCGCCGCAACCCACAGCCCCGCACCGCUCCCUCUUCCUGCUCCGGCAUGGAUCCAGCGAGGGAGGCAUGGAGUCGGCGACGAGCGCGAGCCCAGGAUUCGGUGGCGGUGGAGGGCGCUCGACUGCUCCUAUUUACGUUGAAGUAGUACCGUCGUGUUGGCUCGUGGUGGUAGGCGGCGACGAUGACGACCAAUAGGCUCUGGUCCAGGAGGAGGUGUCGUAUCUGCACUUGGUCUCUAGAGAUCCUGCCCCUUUGACUGCUCAUCUGUGCGAUCGUCUCUGGAGGUGUGUGUACUAAUGCAUCUUGAUUGGUUAAUGUAUUAAUUGUAGAUAGUUGGGUGAGAAAUCUCACUGCCCUGUGCAAGCACUUGGCCCUUUAUGUGUGGCAUAUAUUUCAGCAUGUUGUCACUCUCCAGCGCCAUCUCUUGAACAACUAUGAGACAACAGUAUUUAUUUGCCUCUCCAAUGUUCCCUUGGCUGAUAGUUUAUUUAUUAGUUCCAAUCCUUGUAUGAUCUGAAGCUACUAGCAUGUGUGUACAGAUAGCCAACAAUAGUGUUUUUAGCUUUCAGUCCUGCUAAUAGUUCCAGUACUUUUAUUUAUUUAUUUAUUUAUUUAUUUAUUUAUUUAUUUUCCUUCCUUUGUUCUUAAUUAAUUAGCUAUGCAUAAACAAAAUCAACUGUAUGACUUUACCUUAUUUUGUUGUUCUGUGCAGAAGCCUUAUCUAGUUCUUGCACAAGACAGGGUAUCUGAAUAUGCAAAGCUAUGUCCAACUGAACUUCUUGUAGGGAGAACUAAGGGCUGAAAUGAAGACCGUUGGUGAUUCUGGUUUGCCUGUGUCAACAUCAUCAACUUGGGAGAAAUAAGCACUGAAAAUACUUGAAGUGGUAAAGCCGAAUAUGUGUUUUAAGUUUUCUAAAUGAAGAAUCGAUAACAACAGACUUCUGAAUAAAAUAUAGGUCAUGUUAGUGUAUUUGCAACACAUCAAAGUGAAUCUGGAAUUAAAUGGCAAUCGAUGCAGUGAGUCGUGGUAGUGUGUAUACUGUUUACAUAGUAGUAGCAUACAUAUGUUUGCAAGUUUCAUAAUUUCUGUGUAGAUAAGCAUUUACUGUACAGCACGGGCCUAGAUAAGUUGUCUUACAAGUUUCAUAAUUUCUGUGCAAAACCUUGCUUGUAUCAUGGAUUGAUGUAGCUAUCAUAUGUGUUCUGUCUGCCACCUUUAACAAAGGUUUAAUGAAAUUUAUGAAACAAAUUGUCAUUGUGUUAUUUGAGUGUACAUGACUGUGCAGCUUGCUGCGACUUACAGAUUUGUGGCUUUGCAUUGUCUCAUGAAGUGGUCAAUUUUCCAACAUGGUUUAGAAGUACCUGAUGCUGAGUUCUUUUUGUAGGAUGGACUAGAAAAGACUUUGCAAGUUACUGAUUUGACUACUUUUUUCUUCUAUGGUUUUGUUCCUGUACUACAAUUUCAUCUAAUACAUUGCCUUGAUUACUCAAGUUUGAUCUAAUUUUAAUGAACUGAAAUAUGAUUUGUUGUAGGGCUGAAGCGAUAGAGGAAUAGCAGCAGGCUGAAAUGGUUUAAUUAUCUGAGGCCAAAUAUUAAGAAGAGUGGUGACAUGGCUGAAACUUGUUUCGUGGCUAGAACAUUUUGUAUUCAUGUUUUUGUUGUGCUUUUGUAUGGAAACAUAGCUGGAACAUGUAUGUGCUAGAAUGCUAUUUAUGGUUGGAAAUAAUAUUUAUAUAUUAUUUGGGAUGGUUAUCAUAAUUGUACAAGUACUUGUGUGGUUCGUAAUCUAUGAUUUUUUUAAUUGAGCUAGCUCACAAUAUC